GCGAAGAAGGUGACCCGAAUCGCGACAAUCCAUCUCCGUACAAUGACCGUUGUUGAACUUUCCAAUCUUGCAUCUCCUUCGUCCUUCACCAAGGAAUCGGACGACUCUCCUCUCUUUCCCGUUACAAUUCCAGCUUUCAAUCAUUUCAUCCCAAUUCAGUCCUCCUAUAUAAACCUCCUCUUUGCCUGGGAAAAAUAUAUAGACGUUGGAGAGGCAGAAAAUAUACAGAGAAGGAUAUAUAGAUUUAGAUAUCCAAAAGUUAGGAGCUGAAGCUUUCUGAGUCUGCUGGUUUGGAAAUCGAUUUCUAGAGUUCGUUGCAGGUUCGGAAUUUGUUUAAUAUGUUAAGCACUUUGAAUGCUCUUGCUUCUCCAGUUUGCUGCCUGCUUUGUUUUCUGCUAGUGUUAUCUGUAUUUUUUUUAAGAUAAGACUACUUCUCUCAAGUUUUCUUGAUGUUUGGAAGUUGGUGUAAUGCUUUCAUGUGUCGUUACUUUGCCUCGUUGAAAUUACUCUACUGGUUGUUCAAUUUAAGCAUCUGGUUGUUGAAAUUUGCUUUGAAGAAAUGCAUCUUGGGAAAUUUAAAACCUCCAUUUCAUCAUUUGGGGUCAUCUCGUAGUAUGAAAUUGUUAGCUCACUUUAUAUGUUGCUAGGAUUCAUUCAUUCAUUUAUUCUGGUUGGCUGAUUAUUUUGUCAUGAAUGCGUAAAGAGAUUCUUGUUAGAUUUUUGGUUAUCUCUCAACAUUUUUCAUGAUUUUUUUGUGGAAGUGGCAGAUUCGAGUUUGAAGUUUAUUGUUUGCUAGCCAUCUGUAUACUUUCUUCAAGAUUUUCUUAACAGAGUUCGAAAUAGUUGCUCUUGGUAAGUUUUCUUCCUUUCAAAAAAUUCCAGAAGUAAGUAUUCUAGGUCAGAUUUUUGAGCUUGUUUACAUAAUGGGGUGUUACAUGAUUUUUGAUUUAGAGUAUUUGUGAAUUGUGGCUGUAAUUUUAUUAGCCUCAUAUGUUACUCAUUUCAGGGAACAAAAUCUAGAUUAGAUAAUAUUUAUAUUGCUAUAGUUAAUUUUUUCUAUAUUUAGUUCAAUUUAGUCCAUCUUAAUGUUCUUUUUUCUUCUUCGUUGUUCUUUCUGUUUUAAGUUCAGUAUUUGGUUUACCAUCAAAUUAAGUGAAACUUGAACCUAUAUGUUAGAAAGUCAUUAUGACCUAAUCAUUGUCUUUUUUAUUGCUUUAUGACUUUCUUGGUAUCAUUUGCAACCUUGUUAGUUAGUAUUUUCAGUUGACAAUUAUACAACUUGCUAUGCAACUUUCAUUUUGUACUUCUAAUAGUGUGAAGAUGAGCUAUACCAAAAUAAAGUCCACAAAAGAGGAUGAAAAUCUAACAAAAAAAGUAACACAAUUUAGGAGGAGGGGAAGAGAACAUAAAAUUAAGUCUAGUGACUGCAAUAGACAACUAGUACCACAAGCAAUUAGCUUGAGCAUCUCUAGGGUCAGACACCCCAAAACUUGUCCUCGGAUACAUCUAUUGAAGUUUAUUCAAGUUGUCAUUUGAUGCCUGAUGUACAUUUUUUUAUUUUGCAGUAGUUUGCUUCAAGUAAUCAAUUGUUACAUGGAUGUCUCUAUUACUACUCUUUAGCUGCUCUUACUUAGAGAACAUAGUCUUAUCUCUUUGCUUUCUGGAAAAGAUAAGAAAAUCACCACCCACAAAGAUGAAAAGUCCUAUCUCUUUGCUUUCUGGAAAAGAUAAGAAAAACACCAGCCACAAAGAUGAAAAUAGCAAUAUAAACUGCAAUUUUGCAUAGCUUAGACCCUUGAAUCAACUUCAUUCGUUUGACAUAUGACCACUCCAUGCACAGAGCUUUCAUGACCUUCACUUGAUUGCACAACACAUUCUUUUGCACUUUGGUACAAUUGGAUAUGUUCCUUAGUCGAAAUGUUACCUUGUAGUUUCAAAAAAAAAAUCCCUCCAGACUUGUUAUGUAUAAGCAAGUUGUGACAUUUGAGUGCAUUUGUAGGUACCCUGACUAUGAAAAUUUUAAAUUCUCUCAUGAUUUGUAGAAAUGUAAUCUCUCGUGAUUUUUUUGUAGGCACAAUCACUAU